UGUCAACCAAAUAUUGACUGCAGCAGACAUAUUGAAGCAAAGAGUCAGUAAGUUCUUAUGACUGUUACUGUCACCAUAAUAGAUUCCUAAACAUAGCUGAUGUUUUCUUGAUUGGUGUUGGUGAAGGUAUGCACACCAGGUUGCUGAAAUCUUUUACUUUUUCAAACUUUUAUUAUGCUCUAAGUUGUGAAGCAUCUUGGUAACGUUUUAUACUGUGUUGUUUAGGUUAGCCUUCCCCUAUUAUAUGUGUCGAGUCUACUGCUUGAUAGCUGCUUAGUUCAUUGUUGUGUUUUAUUUUUCUGAUGAGUUGCAACUGUUUACUUAUUAUUCCCCCAACAGAGAUGUAACUGUUUACUUAUUUUUGUGGGACGAGGCUGCGUCAAUCUUCAGGGGUCUCUUGAAAGCAGGGGAUAAAUCACAGUUUGUGAUGUUGGUGCCAUGGUUAAUCCAAAACUAUUUGGAGUGAACCUGUACUUAAACUCCACACUAGGAACUAGGUUCUUUUUCGACACCAACCUCCCUGAAAUAACAGAGUGUGUCAGCAGUUAAGAACAGAAUACUCAAGUAGUAACAGAGAUUCUCCGUAUUGUGAUGCUACCAUACAUACUAUAUGCAGGGUGGGAGGUGCAUCAUCCCAAGCUUUUCCUAAUGUCGACACUCUCGAAAGGAUUAAGAGAGGAAGUUGGUUCUUCUCCCCUAGACACACUCUCAUUCCUUAAAGUAGAAGUUGACGUAAAUUGGAAUCUGUAUGGGGAACGCCUCUGCUUGAAGUUGAAGGAGAAGUUUCAGAUUGUGUUCUAAUUAUUAUAGAUUUUGAGAUUAUUCAAUUGUGUUCUAAUUAAGCGAAUCUAAAACCUUUUAGCAUUGUUUUAAGUUGACCAAAGAAAAACAGUCGUGUUAUCCCUUUCUGAGUUGUACAUUUUA